AUGGCGGAUGCAAGGAACAAGUUCACGCAACCGGAUGAAGAUAUACUUUUUGGACGCCACUUGAAGGAAGUCACUAAGUACCUGAACAUCGGAGUACCAAGUUUCACCGGGACCUACAUCGCCACUUUACCUGAAGAGGAGCGUUGGAUGAUUCAAGUUCAAGUUCCAGGAAGGACGUUCAUGCCCGUCACUGAGCCCGUAGAGUUUUCCUUUGAUGCACCAACCUGGAGUCUAGGAAAGAGCAUGGCAGCCCACAUCACCAUGGGACGCAUUGGAGAAGUUUACCACAACGAUCUUAAGGAUACUAUUUACCAGAUUUGUGGGCGCCGAGAUGAGCAAUAG
rnacentral:rRNA from 1 species